rnacentral:rRNA from 1 species
CCUACGGGAGGCAGCAGUGAGGAAUAUUGGACAAUGGGCGCAAGCCUGAUCCAGCCAUGCCGCGUGCAGGAAGAAGCAUCUAUGGUGUGUAAACUGCUUUUGUACAGGAAGAAACACUCCCUCGUGAGGGAGCUUGACGGUACUGUAAGAAUAAGGACCGGCUAACUCCGUGCCAGCAGCCGCGGUAAUACGGAGGGUCCGAGCGUUAUCCGGAAUCAUUGGGUUUAAAGGGUCCGUAGGCGGUUUAAUAAGUCAGUGGUGAAAUCUGGUCGCUCAACGAUCAAACGGCCAUUGAUACUGUUAGACUUGAAUUAUAAGGAAGUAACUAGAAUAUGUAGUGUAGCGGUGAAAUGCUUAGAUAUUACAUGGAAUACCAAUUGCGAAGGCAGGUUACUACUUAUGGAUUGACGCUGAUGGACGAAAGCGUGGGGAGCGAACAGGAUUAGAUACCCUGGUAGUCCACGCCGUAAACGAUGGAUACUAGCUGUUCGGAGCAAUCUGAGUGNGUAGAGAAGUAGAUAAGUAAUACCACCGUACGGGUAGGUACGGUUCGUCGAAGAAGUAGAAACGUAACGAAGUAGUAAGUUAGUACGGACGUGAGACGUAGACCGACGGACGACGACGAGGGAGGAGGGAG